GUGCUCACUUCGGCAACACAUAUACUAAAAUUGGAACAAGACUGAGAAGAUUAGCACGGCCCCUGUGCAAGGAUCACAUGCAAAUUUGUGAAGCGUUCUGUAUUUUU
ensembl:snRNA U6 U6 spliceosomal RNA